rnacentral:pre_miRNA from 1 species
GUACUACUUUCGUGGUGUUUAGACGUAUUACAUGACCUUUUGUACAUAACUGUAGUACGGCUAGAACUCCACGGAUGUUGGCA